GAUGAACGCUGGCGGCGUGCCUAAUACAUGCAAGUCGAGCGAACAGACGAGGAGCUUGCUCCUCUGACGUUAGCGGCGGACGGGUGAGUAACACGUGGAUAACCUACCUAUCAGACUGGGAUAACUUUGGGAAACCGGAGCUAAUACCGCAUAAUAUAUUGAACCGCAUGGUUCAAUAGUGAAAGACGGUUUUGCUGUCACUUAUAGAUGGAUCCGCGCCGCAUUAGCUAGUUGGUAAGGUAACGGCUUACCAAGGCCACGAUGCGUAGCCGACCUGAGAGGGUGAUCGGCCACACUGGAACUGAGACACGGUCCAGACUCCUACGGGAGGCAGCAGUAGGGAAUCUUCCGCAAUGGGCGAAAGCCUGACGGAGCAACGCCGCGUGAGUGAUGAAGGUCUUCGGAUCGUAAAACUCUGUUAUUAGGGAAGAACAAAUGUGUAAGUAACUAUGCACGUCUUGACGGUACCUAAUCAGAAAGCCACGGCUAACUACGUG
rnacentral:rRNA from 1 species